rnacentral:rRNA from 1 species
GUCGUACGAGAGUUUUUAACUCUAGUGGCGGACGGGUGAGUAACACGUGCAGAAUUUACCUUUAGGAGGGGGAUAACAGCGUAUCAAUAGAUAUUACGGAAACGGCUGCUAAUACCCCAUAUGCUUUUGAGUGAAAUAGAUUUAUCUGCCUAAAGAGAAGCUCGCGGCUGAUUAGCUUGUUGGUAAGGUAAUGGCUUACCAAGGCGACGAUCAGUAUCUGGUUUGAGAGGACGAUCAGACACACUGGAACUGAGACACGGUCCAGACUCCUACGGGAGGCAGCAGUGGGGAAUUUUCCGCAAUGGGCGAAAGCCUGACGGAGCAAUACCGCGUGAGGGAAGACGGCCUAUGGGUUGUAAACCUCUUUUUUUCAGGGAGGAAUUCAAUGACGUGUACCUGAGGAAUAAGCAUCGGCUAACUCCGUG